rnacentral:rRNA from 1 species
UACGAAGGGGGCUAGCGUUGCUCGGAAUCACUGGGCGUAAAGCGCACGUAGGCGGAUUGUUAAGUCAGGGGUGAAAUCCUGGAGCUCAACUCCAGAACUGCCUUUGAUACUGGCGAUCUUGAGUCCGGGAGAGGUGAGUGGAACUGCGAGUGUAGAGGUGAAAUUCGUAGAUAUUCGCAAGAACACCAGUGGCGAAGGCGGCUCACUGGCCCGAUACUGACGCUGAGGCACGAAAGCGUGGGGAGCAAACAG